rnacentral:rRNA from 1 species
GUUGUAUGGUUAAGUGACUAAGCGUACACGGUGGAUGCCUUGGCAGUCAGAGGCGAUGAAGGACGUAUUAACUUGCGAUAAGCCCAGAUUAGGCAGUAAAAGCCACUUGAGUCUGGGAUUUCCGAAUGGGGAAACCCAACUGCAUAAGCAGUUACUGUUAACUGAAUACAUAGGGUAAGGAGGCGAACCGGGGGAACUGAAACAUCUAAGUACCCCGAGGAAAAGAAAUCAACCGAGAUUCCGAAAGUAGCGGCGAGCGAAAUUGGACUAGCCCUUAAGCUUUACACGCGUUAGACGAACGGUCUGGAAAGUCCGACGAUACAGGGUGAUAGUCCCGUAGUUGACGACGUGUGUUCAGUGAAAUCGAGUAGGGCGGGACACGUGAUAUCCUGUCUGAAUAUGGGGGGACCAUCCUCCAAGGCUAAAUACUACUGACUGACCGAUAGUGAACCAGUACCGUGAGGGAAAGGCGAAAAGAACCCCUGUGAGGGGAGUGAAAUAGAACCUGAAACCGUGUACGUACAAGCAGUAGGAGCAGGCUUUGUCCUGUGACUGCGUACCUUUUGUAUAAUGGGUCAGCGACUUAUAUUCAGUGGCAAGGUUAACCAUCUAGGGGAGCCGUAGGGAAACCGAGUCUUAACUGGGCGUUCAGUCUCUGGAUAUAGACCCGAAACCAGGUGAUCUAGCCAUGGGCAGGUUGAAGGUUGAGUAACAUCAACUGGAGGACCGAACCGACUAAUGUUGAAAAAUUAGCGGAUGACUUGUGGCUAGGGGUGAAAGGCCAAUCAAACCUGGAGAUAGCUGGUUCUCCCCGAAAGCUAUUUAGGUAGCGCCUCGGACGAAUACUACUGGGGGUAGAGCACUGUUAAGGCUAGGGGGUCAUCCCGACUUACCAACCCUUUGCAAACUCCGAAUACCAGUAAGUACUAUCCGGGAGACACACGGCGGGUGCUAACGUCCGUCGUGGAGAGGGAAACAACCCAGACCGCCAGCUAAGGUCCCAAAUUACUACUAAGUGGGAAACGAUGUGGGAAGGCUCAGACAGCCAGGAUGUUGGCUUAGAAGCAGCCAUCAUUUAAAGAAAGCGUAAUAGCUCACUGGUCGAGUCGGCCUGCGCGGAAGAUGUAACGGGGCUAAGUAGUAAACCGAAGCUGCGGCAAUGUGCUUUUGCACAUUGGGUAGGGGAGCGUUCUGUAAGCGGUUGAAGGUGUGUGGUAACGCAUGCUGGACGUAUCAGAAGUGCGAAUGCUGACAUGAGUAACGAUAAAGGGGGUGAAAAACCUCCUCGCCGGAAGACCAAGGGUUCCUGUCCAACGUUAAUCGGGGCAGGGUAAGUCGACCCCUAAGGCGAGGCCGAAAGGCGUAGUCGAUGGGAAACGGGUUAAUAUUCCCGUACUUCUUACAAUUGCGAUGGGGGGACGGAGAAGGCUAGGUGGGCCUGGCGACGGUUGUCCAGGUUCAAGUGCGUAGGCUUAAGAGUUAGGUAAAUCCGGCUCUUUUUAAGGCUGAGACACGACGUCGAGCAUCUACGGAUGUGAAGUCAUUGAUGCCAUGCUUCCAGGAAAAGCCUCUAAGCUUCAGAUUGUAAGGAAUCGUACCCCAAACCGACACAGGUGGUCGGGUAGAGAAUACCAAGGCGCUUGAGAGAACUCGGGUGAAGGAACUAGGCAAAAUGGUACCGUAACUUCGGGAGAAGGUACGCUCUCGACGGUGAAGUCCCUCGCGGAUGGAGCUAUUGAGAGUCGCAGAUACCAGGUGGCUGCAACUGUUUAUUAAAAACACAGCACUGUGCAAAAUCGUAAGAUGACGUAUACGGUGUGACGCCUGCCCGGUGCCGGAAGGUUAAUUGAUGGGGUUAGACUUCGGUCGAAGCUCUUGAUCGAAGCCCCGGUAAACGGCGGCCGUAACUAUAACGGUCCUAAGGUAGCGAAAUUCCUUGUCGGGUAAGUUCCGACCUGCACGAAUGGCGUAAUGAUGGCCACGCUGUCUCCACCCGAGACUCAGUGAAAUUGAAAUCGCUGUGAAGAUGCAGUGUACCCGCGGCUAGACGGAAAGACCCCGUGAACCUUUACUACAGCUUGGCACUGAACAUUGACCCUACAUGUGUAGGAUAGGUGGGAGGCUUUGAAGCACGUACGCCAGUAUGUGUGGAGCCGUCCUUGAAAUACCACCCUUGUAGUGUUGAUGUUCUAACGUCGACCCCUUAUCGGGGUUGCGGACAGUGCCUGGUGGGUAGUUUGACUGGGGCGGUCUCCUCCCAAAGAGUAACGGAGGAGCACGAAGGUGGGCUAAUCACGGUUGGACAUCGUGAGGUUAGUGCAAUGGCAUAAGCCCGCUUGACUGCGAGAAUGACAAUUCGAGCAGGUGCGAAAGCAGGUCAUAGUGAUCCGGUGGUUCUGAAUGGAAGGGCCAUCGCUCAACGGAUAAAAGGUACUCCGGGGAUAACAGGCUGAUACCGCCCAAGAGUUCAUAUCGACGGCGGUGUUUGGCACCUCGAUGUCGGCUCAUCACAUCCUGGGGCUGAAGUCGGUCCCAAGGGUAUGGCUGUUCGCCAUUUAAAGUGGUACGCGAGCUGGGUUUAGAACGUCGUGAGACAGUUCGGUCCCUAUCUGCCGUGGGCGUUGGAAGAUUGAAGGGGGCUGCUCCUAGUACGAGAGGACCGGAGUGGACGAACCUCUGGUGUUCGGGUUGUGUCGCCAGACGCAUUGCCCGGUAGCUAAGUUCGGAAUCGAUAACCGCUGAAAGCAUCUAAGCGGGAAGCGAGCCCUGAGAUGAGUCUUCCCUGAUACUUUAAGUAUCCUAAAGGGUUGUCGGAGACUACGACGUUGAUAGGUCAGGUGUGUAAGUGCUGUGAGGCAUUGAGCUAACUGAUACUAAUUGCCCGUGAGGCUUAACCAUACAACACCCAAGGGGUUU